UCCGGAGCAUUCUGCUUUGCAGGUCGCUGCGUCACCUCGCCGGGUGGCCUUCCCUGUGCUGCGGGUCGUCAUCUCGGAGCAGAAACGCUCCCAGCCCCGCCGGCCUCAACCCGCAGCUCGGCGCCCCGCCUACGUCCUCCUUCUGGGAAGCCUGACUCAGUUUCCCCGGGGAACGCCACGUGUCCGAACCCGGGAUAGGAGACAGUGCAGGACAAGAAGGCAAGAAGCGUCUUCUGACCCCUGGUAUCAGCGGUCAGCGUGGGUGCGAGGUCGCCGUGCAUCUGUGCCUUUAGUUAAACAAAGACCCUCAACAGUGAGGUCACCCCGCGCGACAGGGUCCUGCUGGGUUUUGACGUGAGCCCUUUGACACGGGGAGGCCCCACCGCCUGUCCCCGCCCCCACGUCUGGAGCUUGAGGUCCGCAAACCGGGGCCCCACGACUUUGACCUUGUGCGACUGGGACCUCAGGGCCCUAGUCUGGCACAGGACUUGCCUUAGCACAGCCACAGGUGUGAGAUGCUGGAAUUCUGUGUGCUUUUUACGACAUUUAUGUCAAUCCAGUUUUUAGUGAGUCCCUAGGUAUUUUGGAACGUAAAAGGCUGUGAUAUCCCUAAAGAAAUUGAAUUCCUAGUUUAACUGCUAUAAAAUAGUAACAAAAAAAGUUUAUAUGCAACUGUGGGAUAGACCUGAGAACUUUAAAUACACUUAGCAGAUGGGGGUUUAACACUAAAUGCAUUUCAUAUGCCUGCUCAUCUCAGAAAACAUUCUCUAGUCUGAGAUUAAGUGAAUGUCAAAAUUCUAGAAUCACUUGUCAUUUUAUUUACAAUUUUCAAAAUUCCUUUCUUAUGGUUUGCAAAAAGGUUUUAUAUAUGUUCACCAAAAUCAGUAGAGGAUUAAUACAUUAAAAACCUUCAAGUUAAAAAUAAAAGUCAAUCAUCUACAUUUGCUCUCUUACAACACUAAACUAUGUUUUCUACCUUUAUCUUGCAUCUACCUACCACUUCAGCAUUUUAUUAA